GAUGAACGCUGGCGGCGUGCCUAAUACAUGCAAGUCAAGCGAACCGACGAUGACCUUGCUCCUCUGACGUUAGCGCCGGACGGGUUAAUAACACGUGGAUAACCUAUCUAUAAUACUGGGAUAACUUCGGGAAACCGGAGCUAAUACCGGAUACUAUAUUGAACCGCAUGGUUCAAUAGUGAAAGACGGUUUUGCUGUCACUUAUCUAUGGAUCCGCGCCGCAUUAGCUAGUUGGCAAGGUAACGGCGUACCAAGGCGACGAUGCGUAGCCGACCUGAGAGGGUGAGCGGCCACACAGGAACAGUGAAACGGUCCAGACUCCUACGGGAGGCAGCAGUAGGGAAUCUAGGAAAAUGGGCGAAAGGCUGACAGAGCAACGCCGCGUGAGUGAGGAAGGUCUUCGGAUCGUAAGAUUCUGUUAUUAGGGAAGAACAAAUGUGUAAGUAACUAUGCGCGUCUUGACGGUACCUAAUCAGAAAGCCACGGCUAACUACGUG
rnacentral:rRNA from 1 species